UACGUAGGGGGCAAGCGUUGUCCGGAAUCAUUGGGCGUAAAGCGCGUGUAGGCGGUUUGUCGCGUCUGCUGUGAAAAUUUCGGGGCUCAACCCCGAACUUGCAGUGGGUACGGGCAGACUAGAGUGUGGUAGGGGAGACUGGAAUUCCUGGUGUAGCGGUGAAAUGCGCAGAUAUCAGGAGGAACACCGAUGGCGAAGGCAGGUCUCUGGGCCACUACUGACGCUGAGAAGCGAAAGCAUGGGGAGCGAACAGG
rnacentral:rRNA from 1 species